AGUGAACGCUGGCGGUAGGCCUAACACAUGCCAGUCGAACGGCAGCACAGUAAGAGCUUGCUCUUACGGGUGGCGAGUGGCGGACGGGUGAGGAAUACAUCGGAAUCUACUUUUUCGUGGGGGAUAACGUAGGGAAACUUACGCUAAUACCGCAUACGACCUACGGGUGAAAGCAGGGGAUCUUCGGACCUUGCGCGAUUGAAUGAGCCGAUGUCGGAUUAGCUAGUUGGCGGGGUAAAGGCCCACCAAGGCGACGAUCCGUAGCUGGUCUGAGAGGAUGAUCAGCCACACUGGAACGGAGACAGGGUCCAGGGUACUACGGGAGGCAGCAGUGGGGAAUAUUGGACAAUGGGCGCAAGCCUGACCCAGCCAUACCGCGUGGGUGAAGAAGGCCUUCGGGUUGUAAAGCCCUUUUGUUGGGAAAGAAAAGCAGCAGGUUAAUACCCCGCUGUUCUGACGGUACCCAAAAAAUAAGCACCGGCUAACUUCGUG
rnacentral:rRNA from 1 species